rnacentral:rRNA from 1 species
AUACGGAGGGGGCUAGCGUUGUUCGGAAUCACUGGGCGUAAAGCGCGCGUAGGCGGAUUGGUCAGUUGGGGGUGAAAUCCCGAGGCUCAACCUCGGAACUGCCUCCAAAACUGCCAGUCUCGAGUCCGAGAGAGGUGAGUGGAAUUCCGAGUGUAGAGGUGAAAUUCGUAGAUAUUCGGAGGAACACCAGUGGCGAAGGCGACUCACUGGCCCGGUACUGACGCUGAGGUGCGAAAGCGUGGGGAGCAAACAGGAUUAGAUACCCUAGUAGUCC